GCUAUUUCUCCUCAGGGUCUGCUUCAGAGAUAACAAGAAACAGCAGAAAAACUUUUAAAAAGUAGCAUUGAUCUGUUUAAAAUACUCUUAAAAGAAAAUUUACAGCACAGAUCAACUUUUUGGUUUUCCAUUUACAAGAAACGGGGGUUUCUGCAGACAAGGCAGCUACAGUGUGGGCAACAGUCCUCCUUCUUCCUACAGUUCCAGCUGUCCAUCAGUGACAUCACAGAAUCCACUAAUGACAUCACCGUGUGAUAGACUCCUCCCACUUCGCCUGUUACAACAUCAGUAUAAAGUGACUGCUUCACCUACGGACUAGCACUGUCCAGGCUGUUACCUGAUACGUCUCCAGGAGACACUCCCGUUCUUCCAAUGUUGAGUUCUCUGCUACUGUCUUGAGAUGCGCAGAAAGAAAUUUGAGUGUCUCAUAAUGAUGCUCAGCUUGAAACAGAUACUCGCAGUCUGAUGUGGCUGGCUAUCCAGGACACUGGGCCUAAUGGAUUCUAUAAGGAAGUAGAAAUUUUUUAACAUGGCAGAAAACUGACUCACAUUUCUACAGUUUAUGUCAAGCAGUAAAGAGGUUGAAAUUUUCACACCUGAUCUCCAGAGAGUUAAAAGAAAAAAGUAGCACGGAAAGAAAAUCAAAUCACC